AAUACAACUUUCAGCAACGGAUCUCUUGGCUCUCGCAUCGAUGAAGAACGCAGCGAAAUGCGAUAAGUAAUGUGAAUUGCAGAAUUCAGUGAAUCAUCGAAUCUUUGAACGCACCUUGCGCCCUUUGGCUAUUCCGAAGGGCAUGCCUGUUUGAGUAU
rnacentral:rRNA from 1 species